rnacentral:rRNA from 1 species
UACGAAGGGGGCUAGCGUUGCUCGGAAUUACUGGGCGUAAAGCGCGUGUAGGCUGCUCUGCAAGUCGGAUGUGAAAGCCCUGGGCUCAACCUAGGAAGUGCACUCGAAACUGCAGAGCUUGAGUCUCGGAGAGGAUCGCGGAAUUCUCGGUGUAGAGGUAAAAUUCGUAGAUAUCGAGAGGAACACCGGUGGCGAAGGCGGCGAUCUGGACGAUGACUGACGCUGAGACGCGAAAGCGUGGGGAGCAAACAGG